rnacentral:rRNA from 1 species
AAUGAACGCUGGCGGCAUGCCUAACACAUGCAAGUCGAACGAGACCUUCGGGUCUAGUGGCGCACGGGUGCGUAACGCGUGGGAAUCUACCCUUGGGUUCGGAAUAACAGUGGGAAACUACUGCUAAUACCGGAUAAUGACGUAAGUCCAAAGAUUUAUCGCCCAAGGAUGAGCCCGCGUAGGAUUAGCUAGUUGGUGAGGUAAAAGCUCACCAAGGCGACGAUCCUUAGCUGGCUGAGAGGAUGAUCAGCCACACUGGGACUGAGACACGGCCCAGACUCCUACGGGAGGCAGCAGUGGGGAAGUAUUGGACAAUGGGCGGAAAGCCUGAUCCAGCAAUGCCGCGUGAGUGAUGAAGGCCUUAGGGUUGUAAAGCUCUUUUACCCGGGUAUGAUAAUGACAGUACCGGGAGAAUAAGCUCCCGG